GCGGGUGUAGUUCAAUGGUAGAACUCCAGCUUCCCAAGCUGGCCACGGGAGUUCGAUUCUCCUCACCCGCU
rnacentral:tRNA from 1 species